rnacentral:tRNA from 1 species
GGGUAUAUAGCUCAGUGGUAGAGCUUGUGCUUAGCAUGCACGAGGUCCUGGGUUCAAUCCUCAGUACCUCCA